CACCCACCCAGCCCGGCUUUAGGCUGUAGCCCAGGGCAGAGACAGGCUGGCUGAGCUGGCCAGCCUUCCGGUAGUGGCCCCCCUCUUUCCCUUCCUUCCUACUCCUUCUAACCCCCUCCAAAAAUUUCUGGAACCACCUGUAAGCUUUGUUCUUUAGUACUUCGACAAAGCAACCUACGCUUGGUUCAGAAUGACACUUUGCUGGAGGUGGGAAUGAGGCUGUGCCCACCCCCUGCAGAGGGCCCUGCAACCUUGGGUAGGGUUCCCUUUCCCUCUCCCCCACCUCAGGGAAGCCAAGGAAGCACAGAGAGCUGGAGUCAUGCCGGGCCCCACCUCUUUCCUGCUGGGUGACCCAGAGCAGGUUACUGACGCUCUCUGGGCCUCAGUUUUUUCCUAAAGUGAGAAUAAAAAAAUGUCUGUCCUGAAAGGUGGUUGGCUGAGAGAAUACAAGGAGCGAGAGAGCGCUCCAGAUCUUGGUACUUGGGAGAGGACAGAGGUCUGGGGAGAUCACCGCGAGAUGAACAAAGUGCUGGAGGUUAAAAUUGUGUUUCUGUUGCUGAAAGCAGAGUCAUGGUGAAGACUGGUGAGACCCCAUGGGUCUGGAUCACCUCCUCCUCCUGUCAAACUCCGCAUCCCUGUCACCACUUUUGAGAAGCCUGUCCUGAUUCCUCCAGGCAGGCUUAGGAGUCAUGUCCAUCCCCUAGAUACAUCCCAAGGCUGCUGGGUUGCACCACUAUGUUUUCCCCAUGAGCCUGGGAGCAGGGCUCUGUCUCAUUCCUUUCUGGGUCUCCAGCACCCAGCAUGAUGCUUGGUGCAUAGUAGGGACUCAGUAAUUCCUACAAAAUGCGCAAGUUGGAGAUGGAGGUCUUAAGUAGCUGUGUAGGCAAAUCACGUAGAAAUAGUGAUGGGUAGUGAGCUGUAAAGGGCUUGGGCUUUGGAGUCAGACCUCCUUGAAUUUGGAUCUUGGCUCUCCCACUUAUUAGCUCUGUGACCUUGAGCAAGUCAUGUGAUCUCUCUGUACCUUGGGUUUUCUCCUGAGGAGAAAGAGAAACAGUCAACUCCUCCCAGGUUGCUCGGAAGGCUGGGGGCAGGUAAUGCAAAUUAUGGUCCCUUGGCGGGCUGGUGGGGACUGGAGCCCACAGUCAGCCGCUGGGCUACAUGCCCUACCAUCUGUUCAGUGCACUCAACAAAUGGGGAAACUGAGCACAGACAAUAACUUGCUCAAGGUCAUAAGGUUAGUAAACGAGCUUCAUUCAAACAGGUGUCCUGGCUCCAGGCAACUCUACUGAACGGGCCAAGUGUGUAGGGAAAUGUUUAAAAACCCAGGGGGAGCAGACUGGGCCACAUUAUAGCCACAUAAAUUCCCCUCCUCUCAGGCCCCAAGUCUGUGUCCACUUGGGCCACACAGGGCCCAGCCUCCCAGACCUGGCUAUGACAACAUCGUCUGGGUCUUAAUCCCCUCCUGCUCCGGGGGCCUGAACUGACACUGUCUAAGCUGGUUGGUUCCCAUGGUUUGCCAAGUCAACACAGGCUCCAGAGUGAGAGGUGGGCCGUGGAGGGGCUUGAGGCUCCUUGACCCCAGUCUUGAAGGUCAGAGCUCCUUCUCGGACAGAGAGGGGGAAAUCCUGGAGUCAGUCAGGUCCCUGAGGUCCCUGAGACUUCCCCAAGCCCUCGGCCGCUGGCCAAGGCUGAGCCCCUGUUCAAACACCUCACUGAUCCCAUCCCCCAGCUUGAGCCCCCAACCCCACCAGGAGCCCCCACCCUUGGCUUCAUCUACUCAGCAACCCCAGUCCCUGAGACCCCUCCUUACCCCCAGCUGGCCUCCCUACUUCUCUCUUAGCCAAGGUGGGUUUAUAGUGACUGUGUAGGCCUCUUACUUGGAGGGGCCCCUGUGAGGGUUGCUGGGAGUUACAGAGUGUUCUGGGAGGGGAGGCAGCCAGAUUGCACUCAGGAAGCAUUUUCCAUUAAGUGCUCCUGGCACGCUGCCCAGGGAGAUGUCAGAAGAAGGAACCCAGGUCUCUAGGCCUCCAGCAAUUUGUUAUGCUUUUCUUUAUCGUUCUAUCACUAUUCAUUUAAUACAGAUUUUGUAUUCUUUUUCCUAAGGGGGGCCCUUAAAAUUGGACUGGCCCUGCUCUUACUCCUUCACAACACAUCUCCACUGAUGGCCAGACCAUCUUGCUAAAGCAGCAUGUGAUCUUCAAGGGUCCCCACAAAGCCCCUCAGGGGCUCCUGCUGCUUUCGGGGCGGUGGGGAAUGCCAGGCCCUCCUGUGAUCCUGGGUGAUCUGGCCACAGCCAGCCUCUGUGACAGUGUCUCCCACUGCUGGGACUCUCGCCCCCUCUGUUCAGCCACGCAGACCUUUCUUUAGCCCCUCAGGCGGCUCAGCCCCUGGGCUUCCCCACCACUCCCUUGGUCUGGGAACUCCCCCUGAAUGUUCAGGAUUCCAGGUCAACAGCUCUUUGUCAGUGAGGCCUCCCUGAGCCCCAGACCUCAUCAAACCUCGUAACAUCUGGCCUUCCCGCCAAUGCUGACCACACCCGCGUGAGAUGGCCCUGCUCUGCCCCAGAUGCCUCCCACCUCAUUCACCAGGUUUUCAGGCCAAAAAGCUAAGAGCCCUGGGUUCUUCUCAUUCUCUAAUACCCACAUCUAAUUGAUCAGGACGCCCUAUGAACUCUUCACAAUACAUCCAUAUCCAUCCAGCCAUGUCCAUCCAUCCAAUCCAAUCCAUCCACUUCUGGCUACUUUUCAUGGCUACCAUCUUGGUCCAAGCCCUGGGUUAUUCCCAGGGUUAUUAUCAUCUCAUGUGGGUAAUUCCAAAUGCUCCUAAACUGGUUUUCUGUUUCUGCACUAUUCUACAAACAGCAAGGAGAGGAAUCCUUUAAAAAUGUUAAGUCACAUUAUGUCACUCACUCCCUUGUACAAACUCUCUGCUGGCCACCCGUCACGACCCUCACCGUGGCCCUGAGUGAGCCGGUCCCUGCCUACCUCUGCGACCUCAUUCCUGCCACUCCAUCCUCUCUGAUGCUCCAGCCACACUAAAUUUCCUGCUGUUUCUACAAUACUCUCAGCUUGUUGCCACCUCAGGGCCGUGGCCCGGGCUCUUCUCUCAGCCAGGGAUGUUCUUCCCUCAGAAUCUGCUUGGCUUGCUCCCUCAGUCCAUUCAAAAAAGCCCUCCGUGGAAGGCAGCUUCAAAGAUGGCCCCCAAGGUUCCACACCUUCUGCCCUGCCCUUGUGUAAUCCCUCCUCUCAAGGGUGGGCAAGACUCAGGGACUUGCUUCUAAUCCAUGGAAUACAGCAAAAACAAUGGGUGUUGCUUUUCACAUCGGGCUACAAAAGGACUGUGACUUCUGUCCUGCUGUCUGCUUUCUCUCUCCCUCCCUGGCUCGCUCUGAGGGAAGCCAGCUUCCAUGUUGAGAGCUGUCUUUGGAGAGGCCUAUGUGGCAGGGAACUAAGGACACCCUCAGCCAACAGCCAGAGAGGAACUGAGACUCUCGGUCCAGUAGCCCACAAGAAACUGAACCCUGCCAACAACCAUGUGAGUGAGCUUGGAAGUGGAUCCUACCCCAGUCAAGCCUUAAGAUGACACCAGAGCCUUGGCCAACAACUUGACUUGGUCUGUGAGGAGAACCUGAGCCAGAGGACCCCUCCAGGCCGUGGGACCCAAUCCACAGAAAGACAGUAGGGGCACCUGGGUGGCUCCGUCGGUUAAG